GACGAACGCUGGCGGCGUGCUUAACACAUGCAAGUCGAACGGAAAGGCCCUGCUUUUGUGGGGUGCUCGAGUGGCGAACGGGUGAGUAACACGUGAGUAACCUGCCCUUGACUUUGGGAUAACUUCAGGAAACUGGGGCUAAUACCGGAUAGGAGCUCCUGCUGCAUGGUGGGGGUUGGAAAGUUUCGGCGGUUGGGGAUGGACUCGCGGCUUAUCAGCUUGUUGGUGGGGUAGUGGCUUACCAAGGCUUUGACGGGUAGCCGGCCUGAGAGGGUGACCGGCCACAUUGGGACUGCGAUACGGCCCAGACUCCUACGGGAGGCAGCAGUGGGGAAUAUUGCACAAUGGGCGGAAGCCUGAUGCAGCAACGCCGCGUGCGGGAUGACGGCCUUCGGGUUGUAAACCGCCUUCGCCUGUGACGAAGCGUGAGUGACGGUAAUGGGUAAAGAAGCACCGGCUAACUACGUG
rnacentral:rRNA from 1 species